UGAAUACUGUUUCCACUUCCGUGUUUAUGUCCGAUCUGCUGCUGGGGAUAAGGAAUGUGCACUGCUAUGUGUGAUAAAUCCUACAAGUCACUGCUCACUCACUUGCAAUGCUCAGGCUCCGGAGCUGCACGGACACAAGGGAAGAAGCAAAGCAAUCUAGAGCACAAAUCUGCGGCAUCCAAAUAGUGACAGGGACUCCAUUGCUGAACCACUAUUGGGCUUCACGAUAGUCUUGGUGACCUCCUUAGGUCUCAAAAAGGAAACUGAAUUAGCCCCUGGGACCUGGCUGCAAUACCUUAAAGAAGUGGAAGUUGAUUACAAUCCAGUCACAUUACGUUUUAGCACUAAAAUAUUAGAUUCAAAGUUUUUGAAUUUAUUAAAGUGAUAUGAUCCUCGAAGCUGAAGACAUUAUGAAAAAGAAAAAUUUAAAUCCUGUUGUGUGGAUGUGACAUUAAAGGAAGAGACAAUCUGCCAUGAACUCACUGAUGCUGGUCUAAGAUUAUUUUGUAACAUCUAUACACAGAAUGUGUGAAGUUGACACAGAGCACAUAAGAGGCAUUGAAGACUUAACUUUAAACAAGCUAUAUUACAAAAAUAUGGUUUUGAGUUUAUUUAUGAGGAAAUGUUUUUUCAUUUAAUCUUGUUUUUCAAAUGUAGACUGUGUGUUAUUAAACAAUUUCCACCUGUGUGAUAA